UGGGGAAUAUUGCACAAUGGGCGCAAGCCUGAUGCAGCCAUGCCGCGUGUGUGAAGAAGGCCUUCGGGUUGUAAAGCACUUUCAGCGGGGAGGAAGGCGAUAAGGUUAAUAACCUUUUCGAUUGACGUUACCCGCAGAAGAAGCACCGGCUAACUCCGUGCCAGCAGCCGCGGUAAUACGGAGGGUGCAAGCGUUAAUCGGAAUUACUGGGCGUAAAGCGCACGCAGGCGGUCUGUCAAGUCGGAUGUGAAAUCCCCGGGCUCAACCUGGGAACUGCAUUCGAAACUGGCAGGCUAGAGUCUUGUAGAGGGGGGUAGAAUUCCAGGUGUAGCGGUGAAAUGCGUAGAGAUCUGGAGGAAUACCGGUGGCGAAGGCGGCCCCCUGGACGAAGACGGACGCUCAGGUGCGAAAGCGUGGGGAGCAAACAGG
rnacentral:rRNA from 1 species